AACCUGCGGAAGGAUCAUUACCGAGUUCUCGGGCUUCGGCCCGACUCUCCCACCCUUUGUGAACGUACCUCUGUUGCUUUGGCGGCUCCGGCCGCCAAAGGACCUUCAAACUCCAGUCAGUAAACGCAGACGUCUGAUAAACAAGUUAAUAAACUAAAACUUUCAACAACGGAUCUCUUGGUUCUGGCAUCGAUGAAGAACGCAGCGAAAUGCGAUAAGUAAUGUGAAUUGCAGAAUUCAGUGAAUCAUCGAAUCUUUGAACGCACAUUGCGCCCCUUGGUAUUCCGGGGGGCAUGCCUGUUCGAGCGUCAUUACAACCCUCAAGCUCUGCUUGGAAUUGGGCACCGUCCUCACUGCGGACGCGCCUCAAAGACCUCGGCGGUGGCUGUUCAGCCCUCAAGCGUAGUAGAAUACACCUCGCUUUGGAGCGGUUGGCGUCGCCCGCCGGACGAACCUUCUGAACUUUUCUCAAGGUUGACCUCGGAUCAGGUAGGGAUACCCGCUGAACUUAAGCAUAUCAAUAA
rnacentral:rRNA from 1 species